rnacentral:rRNA from 1 species
GCAUAGCUUGAGUAUUCUAUAGUGUCACCUAAAUAGCUUGGCGUAAUCAUGGUCAUAGCUGUUUCCUGUGUGAAAUUGGUAUCCGCUCCNCUNUGCUAUGUGUGAUCCUGGACGGAUUAGCUAGCUGGUGGGGUAAUGGCUCACCAAGGCGACUAUUUGUAACUGGUCUGAGAGGAUGAUCAGUCACACUGGAACUGAAACACGGUCCACACUCCUACCGGAGGUACCUGUGGGGAAUAUUGGACAAUGGCCUAAAGCCUGAUCCCCCCAUGCCUGGGUGUGAAAAAGUCUUCGGAUUGCAAAGCACUUUAAGUUCCCGAGGAAGGGCACUAAAUUAAUACUUUGCUGUUUUGACCUUCCCGACAGAAUAAUCACCAGCUAACUCUGUGCCAUCAGCCACGGUAAUACAGA